GUCAGAGGCGAUGAAGGACGUGCUAAUCUGCGAUAAGCGCCGGUAAGGUGAUAUGAACCGUUAUAACCGGCGAUUUCCGAAUGGGGAAACCCAGUGUGAUUCGUCACACUAUCAUUAACUGAAUCCAUAGGUUAAUGAGGCGAACCGGGGGAACUGAAACAUCUAAGUACCCCGAGGAAAAGAAAUCAACCGAGAUUCCCCCAGUAGCGGCGAGCGAACGGGGAGGAGCCCAGAGCCUGAAUCAGCAUGUGUGUUAGUGGAAGCGUCUGGAAAGGCGCGCGAUACAGGGUGACAGCCCCGUACACAAAAGCGCAUGUGCUGUGAGCUCGAUGAGUAGGGCGGGACACGUGGUAUCCUGUCUGAAUAUGGGGGGACCAUCCUCCAAGGCUAAAUACUCCUGACUGACCGAUAGUGAACCAGUACCGUGAGGGAAAGGCGAAAAGAACCCCGGCGAGGGGAGUGAAAAAGAACCUGAAACCGUGUACGUACAAGCAGUGGGAGCACAGGUUUACCUGUGUGACUGCGUACCUUUUGUAUAAUGGGUCAGCGACUUAUAUUCUGUAGCAAGGUUAACCGUAUAGGGGAGCCGUAGGGAAACC
rnacentral:rRNA from 1 species